rnacentral:rRNA from 1 species
AUUCCUACGGGAGGCAGCAGUGGGGAAUAUUGCACAAUGGGCGCAAGCCUGAUGCAGCGACGCCGCGUGAGGGAUGAAGGCCUUCGGGUUGUAAACCUCUUUCAGCAGGGAAGAAGCAGCCGGGUUUUCUUGGUUGUGACGGUACCUGCAGAAGAAGCACCGGCUAACUACGUGCCAGCAGCCGCGGUAAUACGUAGGGUGCAAGCGUUGUCCGGAAUUAUUGGGCGUAAAGAGCUUGUAGGUGGUUUGUCGCGUCUGUUGUGAAAUUUCGGGGCUCAACCCCGAACUUGCAGUGGAUACGGGCAGACUAGAGUGUGGUAGGGGAGACUGGAAUUCCUGGUGUAGCGGUGAAAUGCGCAGAUAUCAGGAGGAACACCGAUGGCGAAGGCAGGUCUCUGGGCCAUUACUGACACUGAGAAGCGAAAGCAUGGGGAGCGAACAGGAUUAGAUACCCUGGUAGUCCAUGCCGUAAACGGUGGGAACUAGGUGUGGGUCUCAUUCCACGAGAUCCGUGCCGCAGCUAACGCAUUAAGUUCCCCGCCUGGGGAGUACGGCCGCAAGGUUGAAACUCAAAGGAAUUGGCGGGGGCCCGCACAAGCGGUGGAGCAUGUGGCUUAAUUCGAUGCAACGCGAAGAACCUUACCAGGGCUUGACAUGUAGCUGCAAGCCGCCGAAACGUGGUCGCCUUCGAGGGUGCUACACAGGUGGUGCAUGGCUGUCGUCAGCUCGUGUUGUGAAAUGUUGGGUUAAGUCCCGCAACGAGCGCAACCCUCAUGUUCUGUUGCCAGCGAGUAAAGUCGGGAACUCGGAACAAACUGCCUCUGUAAGGAGGAGGAAGGUGGGGAUGACGUCAAGUCAUCAUGCCCCUUACGCCCUGGGCUGCACACAUGCUACAAUGGCCGGUACAAAGAGCUGCGAACUCGCGAGGGUGAGCUAAUCUCAAAAAGCCGGUCUCAGUUCGGAUUGGAGUCUGCAACUCGACUCCAUGAAGUUGGAAUCGCUAGUAACCGCCGGUCAGCAAUACGGCGGUGAAUACGUUCCCGGGCCUUGUACACACCGC